rfam:Clostridium sp. D5 genomic scaffold supercont1.9, whole genome shotgun sequence.
UCGUGCAGCCGGGGUGUUAGCGGUACCUUGUACCUGCAAUCCGCUAUAGCAGGGGUGAUAUUACGCAGAGGGUGCUGAUUUGCAGAGCUGCCCUUGGAAAGUGGCGUUGAGAUCUGGGUCUUACGCGACGGGAAUCUGUGAACCGUGUCAGGUCGGGAACGAAGCAGCACUAAGCAGAACCUUCCGGGUGCCGUAAGGGUGCCUGGGUUGAGUUAACUGCCGAGGUAACGUUUGUGGAGAUGCAUUCGAAGCGUAAUGCACGU